UUUAAAUUGAGAGUUUGAUCCUGGCUCAGGACGAACGCUGGCGGCGUGCCUAACACAUGCAAGUCGAGCGA
rnacentral:rRNA from 1 species